UGGGGGACAACCGUUGGAAACGACGGCUAAUACCGCAUAAUGUCUACGGACCAAAGGGGGCUUCGGCUCUCGCCUUUAGAUUGGCCCAAGUGGGAUUAGCUAGUUGGUGAGGUAAUGGCUCACCAAGGCGACGAUCCCUAGCUGGUUUGAGAGGAUGAUCAGCCACACUGGGACUGAGACAUGCAGCCAUGCCGCGUGUGUGAAGAAGGCCUUCGGGUUGUAAAGCACUUUCAGCAAGGAGGAAAGGUUAGUAGUUAAUACCUGCUAUCUGUGACGUUACUUGCAGAAGAAGCACCGGCUAACUCCGUGCCAGCAGCCGCGGUAAUACGGAGGGUGCGAGCGUUAAUCGGAAUUACUGGGCGUAAAGCGUACGCAGGCGGUUUGUUAAGCGAGAUGUGAAAGCCCCGGGCUUAACCUGGGAACUGCAUUUCGAACUGGCAGGCUAGAGUGUGAUAGAGGGUGGUAGAAUUUCAGGUGUAGCGGUGAAAUGCGUAGAGAUCUGAAGGAAUACCGAUGGCGAAGGCAGCCACCUGGGUCAACACUGACGCUCAUGUACGAAAGCGUGGGGAGCAAACAGGAUUAGAUACCC
rnacentral:rRNA from 1 species